GCUUCCGUGGCGCAAUUGGCAGCGCGUCUGAUUGUUAAUCAGGAGGUUGGUGGUUCGAGCCCACCCGGGAGCG